UACUAUGCUAGUUAAGACUAUGUACAUUACUAACAAAAAUCUAAAACUACAAUAGAAGAAUAAAGGAAAGAAAUGGCUUAUUGGUUGUUCUCCUAAUGCUCUCUGCUUUAUCAUCCUUGUCUCCCUGAAUGCAUUGCAUCUCUUCUGCUCAACCAGCUGUUGCAGCAACCUUAGCUCUCCAUUCAAUGCUGGCUGCUUCUGCAUUUUCAACUCAUCUUGCUGUAACAAUAACAUCCUCUUGUUCAAUCCUUGUAGCUGGCUCUGCACAUUCAAGGCUCUUUGAGCAAUUUUGGAACCAUCUCCUGCCUUUACCAAGGCUGCCAUAAUGCUUGUAGCUUCCUACUCGUUUAACUCUAUUGCCAUAACAUCAAACUCAAAGUGAGCAUGUGUAUCCAUAAAAACGUGUGCAGUUAUGUGAGAAUCACUCAUUAAAUCCUCAAGCAAAUCAUCAAAAUUCAAUGCAUUCAAAUUAAAACACCCAUCAGUAGGUGUGUUUAUAUGAUUCA
rnacentral:lncRNA from 1 species